rnacentral:rRNA from 1 species
UACGUAGGUGACAAGCGUUGUCCGGAUUUACUGGGCGUAAAGAGCGCGCAGGCGGUCGUUUCAAGUCGAGUGUGAAAGCCCCCGGCUCAACUGGGGAGGGUCAUUCGAUACUGAUCGACUCGAAGGCAGGAGAGGGAAGUGGAAUUCCCGGUGUAGUGGUGAAAUGCGUAGAUAUCAGGAGGAACACCAAUGGCGAAGGCAGAUCUCUGGGCCGUAACUGACGCUGAGGAGCGAAAGCAUGGGGAGCGAACAGG